UUCUAUAUUUACUAAAUUUGUUUGUGUAUUUUGUCCUCAAGGUUUAGGCAAAGAUAUAAGGUAGGAACUUUAUGUUUGGGUAGCCUUAUUAUCAACACUCUUAUGUUGGCAAUAGAUUAACUUUUUGUCACUCUUUAUAUUACUUAGCUCAUCAAUUUAUACUAGCAUAUAUUUCUACGACUGCUUGCUUUUUUAUUGAUGCUUUACGCAGCUUAUGUAUGAGCCUUGGGGGACACUAGUUUUAGCUACUUCAUCUUCGAUGUGAUAACUUGAUUCUGUUGUGUAUCUUAUCAUAUCAUAAACUAUUUUGUAUUAGUUUUAUCAUCCCAUUUUGAUUAAUCAAUAUUGUAG
rnacentral:lncRNA from 1 species